rnacentral:rRNA from 1 species
AUGACACCAAAAAGAGAGUUGUGGAAGCUGACUUUCCUUCUUUGCGGAAAAACUUUGCUGGGUUGCUGCUCAGCAUCUUCACGGAUCACCUUCUGCAUCGAGGGAUCGCUGCUGAACCUGCCUAGCAGCAUAGGCGUCACCCUACCGUUUGAUGUGUACUUCCUCGGUGCUAUCACUGAUCUAAACAGGUUUUGUAUUUCUUCAUGGCCUUGUUGCUCGGCUAGAGCUCUUGGGGUCCAGCCGUUACUGUCCUGCUUGUCAAUGUCUGCUCCGUGUCUCAGUAACAACUCAACCAUCUCAACGUUCCCGUCGCAGACAGCACGGUGCAGCGGAAUGUUUCCAUCUUUGGAUGGCCUGUUUACAUCGAUGACAUGCUUGAGUAUCUGCUUGAGCAGUUCUAUAUUGUUUUCCUCAACUGCGAUGCAAGCAUAUAAGCUUGUAUCCCCGGAUGAUAGUUCUGCACCGCCCUUGACUAACAGAUGCACAACCGUAUCAUGUUUCGCAUAUACAGCCUCCCAUAGCGGAACCUUUCCUUCCGAAUCUGGAUGUUGGAAGAAUUAA